rnacentral:tRNA from 1 species
UCCGCUGUAGCUCAGUGGUAGAGCGCCUGGCUCUUGGACCGGGUGGACGCCGGUUCGAGCCCGGUCAGCGGAG